rnacentral:lncRNA from 1 species
UGGAAGAACUCUGGGAACUACGGGGGCACCACUAUCUGCACCAGGAAUCCCUAAAGCCAGCCCCAGUACUGGUAGAGAAGCCUCUGCCAGAGUGGCCAGUGCCUCAGUUCAUCAACCUCUUUCUACCAGAGUUUCCCAUUAGGCCCAUUAGGGGGCAGCAGCAGCUGAAGAUUUUAGGCCUCGUGGCUAAAGGCUCCUUUGGAACUGUCCUCAAGGUGCUAGAUUGCACCCAGAAAGCUGUAUUUGCAGUGAAGGUGGUGCCCAAGGUAAAGGUCCUACAGAGGGAUACCGUGAGGCAGUGCAAAGAGGAGCGACAGAUCAACCAUCCCUUUGUACACAGCUUGGGGGACAGCUGGCAGGGAAAACGGCACCUUUUCAUUAGUGAGUGACUGGACUCUCUCCUCAUCCCCCAGGGUCUUUGUACCAUGUUCCCCACCUGAGAUUACCUCUUUGGCUUGUUCUGCCUUUGCUCUGUCCCCCUUCUCAUGGCACCUCUCUGUCCCAAAGGGAGGGGAACAGCAGGUGGUAUCAGUUUGGGCAGGAGGCCUACAAUGCCUUGAGCCCAGGCAUUGCAGCUCCCAAACAUUGCCUAGACUUCUGGCAAUGUAUGUAGCUCCACACUGGCUUUGCAGUGUGUAGCUACUGCAGCACAGAUCUGUACUCCCUUUGGUCG